CUAAAAAAAAUGCUGAUUUUAAAGGUCAAUGAAGGGCAAGAUGAAACCGUAGAUGCUUCUGGUUCUCAAUUUUUUGGGCAUAUAAAUUUCAAAAUCGCAUCGAUGAUUUACCAGAGAUGCCGAUCGUUCGAGAUGCCUCGAUAUUCAUGCUAGGGAGUUAUAGCGCGGACUCCAAGUGAGUAGAUCUUUUCCUUUUUAUAGUAUGUGUGUGUGUGUGUGUGUGUACAAGUUCUUUUGAAUUGAUUUAUGCAUAUCAUGCCAUGAUUAAAUAAUGUUAUAAGAAAUGUUGCACCGUUGUGAGAUGCUAAAAUAAUCCUACGGGAUGCGCAGGUAUGUUUAUUAUGCCAAUUGCAAUUAUUGAAUCAUUAUGGCAUGCAUAUAUUCAUGUAGUGCUCAUCAUUUAUGUACACCGGUGUUAGUGCUCCCGCCCCAGGCCAGGACCAGCCUUCAUGAUCGUUCAUCUCCUGCACCGGGCCAGUCUUCACGCUAAUGAUGCGGUGAGUUCGGAUUUUUCUUUUACUUUGCUACCUUUUCUGAUUAUCUUAUCCAUCUGACCUUGGGAGUGGCGUUACAUCUGGAUUGCCCUCUUCCUCCAAAUUCACAGCAUUUUAGAGCUAUGAGAAGGCAUUGCAUAAUCGACACCUAACCUAACCUAAGCAAAAAGCUACAUCUUCACUACUACUUAGGACACAAUAUUUGUACAAAUCUACAAUACCAUGUUGCAUUGCAUUCAAUCCAGCGUGAAAUGAAUGGAUUGAGAUUUAAAGAAACAUAUAUUACACCUUCAUCCAUCCACUUAAUACCCACGUUGCACUUAAAGGAACGGAGUAUUGCAGCCACACCCCAAGAUUUUGACUAUUCUUCAAUUUAAUUGUGACAAUCCAUGUUAAGGAUAAACUCAUGCAUCUACAUAGGCCUAUCAUACGAUGCUAUUCUACACAAGUAUCCAAUUUAAUUGUAAACGAUAUUAAAUAAUAAGGCAAUGCAACAAAUGACCACAUUAUGAAUAACGCAACAGCUUACAAAAGACAUGUACAAAAGAAAGUUGAACACAUAACCUCGGGUGCAAGCUAUACGCUUUUUAACACUUUAGCUACAAAGGUUUAAGAGCAACAUUCUUUUCUUGCUUCGACACAUAAAUGUUUAUUCAAACGGACACAUUAUAGUAUCACAUACUACCUAAAUUGGACGCCAAAAGCAGCAAAAGUAUAUCUUAAUCUCUACAGGUUUUGGUUUUGGUUUUGGUAGUAAUUGGUAAACAAUUACCUGAAUUCCACCACAAGAUAUAAUUUUCGCGGUUGUUUAAGAUGCUUUAAUCCACAUGGAUUACCUUCUAAUUGAAAUAUAAAUCAAUAUCCCAAACAUUGUAUGACUAAUCAAGAUCCAAAUUACCCUCCUAAAAGGAAUUAGGAAAUGGAACAAGCAAAAUCUGCAAUCAAUCUGAAAAGCUUACUCGCUCACAAAUGAUUUAAGUGCAUUUCAAUCAGGACACGGAGAAAAAUCUCAUUCGAAAAGUUUACAAAAGAAAUACCCAAAAGAGAAACACUAGGUAGGGGGGAGAGUGAUACUAAAACUCCUUAAGGACCACUUCUUUUUGUUAAACCUACCAUUAAUGGAAAUAUUGUACAGGUAUACAAGCGAUUCAGCUUAUGCCAAUUCAUUUGUUCAACAAAUGCAACAAACCAUCAAAGUUGCAUCCAAUUAGUAGUAUGUACCUUCUGGUGGUUGGGCAAGCUUCCGGUUGUACGAGGCUGCCAUUUCCUUCUUCAGCUGUAUCAGUAUGUUUUCCAUGGUGAACUCCCGCUGCCAAUUUGCCAGAAUUCCAAACUUCUUUGCUUCAACCUGUUACCAAUCACUCAACUCAUUAAGCAACGGGAGUCAAACACACAACUCCUGAACAGUAAAUUAGGAAAUCAGAACGAGAAAUUCUGAGAGAAGUUCGGUCAAUCACUGCAACAAGAUGGAAUGUCUGACAGAGAUUCAAGGAAACUAAGUGCAAAUAAUAAUUUACAUUUUAGUAAUGAGCAUGAACCUGAAAGUAGUAAUUCAAGAGUGCUUUCAUGACGAACUGCCUUCCAAAUUCUUAUGACAUACAACCAUAUAAACCUAAAAGUCAUGUUUAGUCUUUUGAAGGAGAUUAAAGAUAUAUGAAUUUCCUCACCUUGUUUCAUUGUGUAUAUUUUGGAGCAAUAAUUUAUACUAAUCUUUUGUUUA